rnacentral:misc_RNA from 1 species
GAUGAAGGAACGCAGCGAAAUGCGAUAAGUAGUGUGAAUUGCAGAAUUCAGUGAAUCAUCGAAUCUUUGAACGCACAUUGCGCCCCAUGGUAUUCCGUGGGGCAUGCCUGUUCGAGCGUCAUUUACCCCCUCAAGCUCCGCUUGGUGUUGGGCGUCUGUCCCGCUUCGCGCGCGGACUCGCCCCAAAGGUAUUGGCAGCGGUCGUGCCAGCUUCUCGCGCAGCACAUUGCGCUUCUCGAGGCACCGGUGGGCCCGCGUCCAUCAAGCUCACCCCCCCAGUUUGACCUCGGAUCAGGUAGGGAUACCCGCUGAACUUAAGCAUAUCAAUAAGCGGAGGA